CCUACGGGAGGCAGCAGUGAGGAAUAUUGGUCAAUGGACGAGAGUCUGAACCAGCCAAGUAGCGUGAAGGAUGACUGCCCUAUGGGUUGUAAACUUCUUUUAUAUGGGAAUAAAAUGUUCCACGUGUGGGAUUUUGUAUGUACCAUAUGAAUAAGGAUCGGCUAACUCCGUGCCAGCAGCCGCGGUAAUACGGAGGAUCCGAGCGUUAUCCGGAUUUAUUGGGUUUAAAGGGAGCGUAGGUGGAUUGUUAAGUCAGAUGUGAAAGUUUGCGGCUCAACCGUAAAAUUGCAGUUGAAACUGGCAGUCGUGAGUACAGUAGAGGUGGGCGGAAUUCGUGGUGUAGCGGUGAAAUGCUUAGAGAUCACGAAGAACUCCGAUUGCGAAGGCAGCUCACUGGACUGCAACUGACACUGAGGCUCGAAAGUGUGGGUAUCAAACAGGAUUAGAUACCCUAGUAGUC
rnacentral:rRNA from 1 species